AGCGGCAAAAGCUCAAAUUUGAAAUCUGGCGUCUUUGGCGUCCGAGUUGUAAUUUGAAGAAGGUAUCUUUGGGCCCGGCUCUUGUCUAUGUUCCUUGGAACAGGACGUCACAGAGGGUGAGAAUCCCGUGCGAUGAGAUGACCCGGGUCUGUGUAAAGUUCCUUCGACGAGUCGAGUUGUUUGGGAAUGCAGCUCUAAGUGGGUGGUAAAUUCCAUCUAAAGCUAAAUAUUGGCGAGAGACCGAUAGCGAACAAGUACAGUGAUGGAAAGAUGAAAAGAACUUUGAAAAGAGAGUGAAAAAGUACGUGAAAUUGUUGAAAGGGAAGGGCUUGAGAUCAGACUUGGUAUUUUGCAUGCUGCUCUCUCGGGGGCGGCCGCUGCGGUUUACCGGGCCAGCAUCGGUUUGGAGCGGCAGGAUAAUGGCGGAGGAAUGUGGCACGGCUUCUGCUGUGUGUUGUAGCCUCUGACGAUACUGCCAGCCUAGACCGAGGACUGCGGUUUUUAACCUAGGAUGUUGGCAUAAUGAUCUUAAGUCGCCCGUCUUGAAACACGGACC
rnacentral:rRNA from 1 species